AACAUCGCGCACCUGCGGGAACCUGCGGAAGGAUCAUUACCGAGUUUACAACUCCCAAACCCCUGUGAACAUACCAAUUGUUGCCUCGGCGGAUCAGCCCGCUCCCGGUAAAACGGGACGGCCCGCCAGAGGACCCCUAAACUCUGUUUCUAUAUGUAACUUCUGAGUAAAACCAUAAAUAAAUCAAAACUUUUAGCAACGGAUCU
rnacentral:misc_RNA from 1 species